UCCGGUUGAUCCUGCCGGAGGUUACUGCUAUCGGUGUUCGCCUAAGCCAUGCGAGUCAUAUGUAGCAAUACAUGGCGUACUGCUCAGUAACACGUGGAUAACCUGCCCUUGGGACCGGCAUAACCCCGGGAAACUGGGGAUAAUUCCGGAUAACGCAUAUGUGCUGGAAUGCUUUAUGCGUAAAAUGGAUUCGUCUGCCCAAGGAUGGGUCUGCGGCCUAUCAGGUAGUAGUGGGUGUAAUGUACCUACUAGCCAGCGACGGGUACGGGUUGUGAGAGCAAGAGCCCGGAGAUGGAUUCUGAGACAUGAAUCCAGGCCCUACGGGGCGCAGCAGGCGCGAAAACUUUACAAUGCGGGAAACCGUGAUAAGGGGACACCGAGUGCCAGCAUCAUAUGCUGGCUGUCCAGGUGUGUAAAAUACACCUGUUAGCAAGGGCCGGGCAAGACCGGUGCCAGCCGCCGCGGUAACACCGGCGGCCCGAGUGGUGAUCGUGAUUAUUGGGUCUAAAGGGUCCGUAGCCGGUUUGGUCAGUCCUCCGGGAAAUCUGAUAGCUCAACUAUUAGGCUUUCGGGGGAUACUGCCAGACUUGGAACCGGGAGAGGUAAGAGGUAC
rnacentral:rRNA from 1 species